UACGUAGGGGGCAAGCGUUGUCCGGAAUCAUUGGGCGUAAAGCGCGCGUAGGCGGCUAGAUCAGUCUGCUGUAAAAGUCAAAGGCUCAACCUUUGAAAGCCGGUGGAUACUGUCUAGCUAGAGUCCGGAAGAGGCGAGUGGAAUUCCUGGCGUAGCGGUGGAAUGCGCAGAUAUCAGGAGGAACACCAACGGCGAAGGCAGCUCGCUGGGACGGUACUGACGCUAAGGCGCGAAAGCGUGGGGAGCGAACAGG
rnacentral:rRNA from 1 species